AGGCAAGCAGUGAGGGAAAUAUUUGGUUCAAUUGCCAAAAACUUCUGGAAUCAAGCCAUGGCGCGGUGCAAAGAAGGACGGCUCGUGGGAGUAGUAAACUGCUUUUUUAAGAAGGGUAAACUUAAGUUACGGGUCCCUAAACGGCAAGUAUCUAAGAAUAAGGAUCGGUUACUCCGUGCCAGCCAGCCGCGGUAAUACGGAGGAUCCAAGCGUUAUCCGGAAUUAUUGGGUUUAAAGGGUGCGUAGGGUGGCUUAUAAGUCAGUGGUUAAAACCGAUAGCUCAACUAUCGCGGUGCCAUUGAAACUGUAUAGCUAGAGAGUGGUUGCAGUAGGCGGAAUGUGUAGUGUAGCGGUGAAAUGCUUAGAUAUUACACAGAACACCGAUUGCGAAGGCAGCUUACUAAGCCAUAUCUGACACUGAUGCACGAAAGCGUGGGUAUCAAACAGGAUUAGAUACCCUGGUAGUCCAUGCCGUAAACGAUGAUAACUCGUUGUAGGCGAUACACAGUCUGUAACCAAGCGAAAGCGAUAAGUUAUCCACCUGGGGAGUACGACCGCAAGGUUGAAACUCAAAGGAAUUGACGGGGGCCCGCACAAGCGGAGGAACAUGUGGUUUAAUUCGAUGAUACGCGAGGAACCUUACCCGGGCUUGAAAGUUAGUGAUCGAACUGGAAACAGUUUUUCUCUUCGGAGCACGAAACUAGGUGCUGCAUGGUUGUCGUCAGCUCGUGCCGUGAGGUGUCGGGUUAAGUCCCAUAACGAGCGCAACCCCUACUGAUAGUUGCCAACGAGUAAUGUCGGGGACUCUAUCGGGACUGCCAGUGUAAACCGCGAGGAAGGUGGGGAUGACGUCAAAUCAGCACGGCCCUUACGUCCGGGGCGACACACGUGUUACAAUGGUCGGUACGGAGGGUCGCUACCUAGUGAUAGGAUGCCAAUCUCAAAAGCCGAUCUCAGUUCGGAUUGGAGGCUGAAACUCGCCUCCAUGAAGUUGGAUUCGCUAGUAAUCGCAUAUCAGCCAUGAUGCGGUGAAUACGUUCCCGGGCCUUGUACACACCGCCCGUCAAGCCAUGGAAGUUUGGGGUGCCUGAAGUUGUGUCCGCCAGGAGCGUCAUAGGGUUACACAGAUACCU
rnacentral:rRNA from 1 species